rnacentral:lncRNA from 1 species
UUGCGGAGGAGAGGUUUUAUUUGGCUUAUACUUCCAGAUCAUAGUCUCUUCACCGGAGGAUGUCAGCACAGCAGUUCAAGCAGGGCUGGCACUUGGAGGCAGGAGCUGAUGCAGAGGCUACGGAGGGGUACUGCUUACUGGCCUGCUUCACGUGACUUGCUCAUCUUGCUUUCUUAUAGAACCCAGGACCACCAGCCCAGGGAUGGCACCACCAGUAAUGGUUUUGGUCCACUCCCAACAAUAACUACUUACAGUAGAUCUUUUCUCAAUCAAGGUUCCCUCCUUCCAGAUAACUUAAGUUGACAUUAGACCAGCCAGCACAGGAUGAGCUCAGGUCAUCAGGCUUGUGCAGCCAACACAAGGCACAACACAUGAGGCAGCUGAACACCUCCCAGCUCUUUGCUUUACUUAGAUGCUUAAACCACUCUGAUCACUUCACACAGUCUUGAUUUAUUCAGUAAAAAUUUGUUUUGGUCUAAUCAAAAUGAUUGUGGAAUAUCAAAGAUUUCCUUUUAAAAAUAAAUUAUAUAGUUUAUAAAUAAAAAAGUAUACAAUGUAAAGAUCAUUAAGAGAUGAAAUAUUUACAUAUUUUAAACUGGUAAUCACAAACUACAAUGAUUAUUGAAAUAUAUUAGCAUUAUGAGAGUUCUUUCGUAGUGACUCAGAGUGUCGAGCAUGUUUCUGAUUUCUGUCUUUCCUGAGUAAGAUCAUUUGGUAACAUUUGCAU